CCCAUGUCUCAAAUUUAUAAAGUAUAUACAUACAUAUAAGUUACAUAUACGAUAUACGAUUAUUAAAAACGUCGAUUAGUAACAUCCCAAUUCUUAAAACACAAAUCCAUAAACGAAAUCCACACGAUUACACAUCCGGUCGAUCCUGAGCGGCAAACAAGUUAAUCCAACGGCUGCGAGUUGCUUUGUUCUGUGUACGGUCUAACAAACGUCCUACGCCACCAAACCUCGAAUGCUUUUUGAAGAUUCGGGCAGUUAUCACCCGCUUUCAAGAAACUACUCAACCACCCGAGCAUAACAAUCUGCUGAUCCUCGAGUGGGAGUGUUAAUAUAGUCCUCCCGAUCCCUUCCUCCACAACCUUUCGAUCAAACGACUUGCACCCGUGUUGUAGCCAGCUGUAAUCGUCAAUCAAAGGCUGUAACCAGGUCUUUAACAACAAAUGACGGGUGUCUUUACUCGAUAAAAUUUCGCCUCUUCCUAUCCCAACAAAUAACCUUGCGGUUAUACAGCUAAUGUGGUGGCGGUUCACUAUUGGGACACGAGGGUGUAGCCCGGCUAGCUCUUGCUGGCUAGCCCACAUGACGGCAUACUCGUCGGCUGCGUGUCUAUCGGCUAAUAUAUCAAGUAACCAUGAAAGGUUAUCGGCUUCUAAAACCAUUUGUUUGACCACGGGGUCUUUGACCUCAAUUGGUUGUUGUGUAAACUCGGGUUGGGCCACUUGUCGGAACAAAACCAACAACGAACCCAAACAGGUUGUACACGAGGCGUAAAUGGUGUCGUUACAUAUGUCAACCGAGGUUAACGAGCUCACGUUUGGACCAGACUUGUUAUUAUUUUCUCUCAAGAGUUUUAAGACGAUUGAUUUCAUUUCGCGGCGUCCUUUUUCUUCAUUGCUUUUGAGGACAAGUUGGAGGACAUGAGAGAGGGUGUCUUUAGCGGGGGUUUUGGUAGGUGGGGAUGAUGAUGAUCUUGGUUUGUUUAAAGGGUGUUGUGUUUUUAGGGUUUUUUGAAACAUAACAGGUGAAGGACAACACCAGAAUCCUUCAGGGGUUACUGCAAUUGGUACAUUUCUGAUCUUUGUUUGCCCUUGUUCCACCUUUUUAACUCUAGUUUCUGCCAUUUUAUGAAUCUUCAGACCUUAAUUAAUCCGAAAAGAUUAGAACCCACAAAAGUUUACAAGAAAUUUUCAGCAUUUCAAGACACUGAACGCAAAUUAACCUAAAAAGAUAGGAACCCACAAAAAAAUAUUAAGAAAUUUACAAGAUUUCAAGAAACUGAUUGCAAAUUAACCCAAAAAGAUAACAACUUUCUAACAAAUUUUCAACAUUUCAGGAAACUGAAUGCAAAUUAGCCCAAAAAGAUAGAAACCCACAAAAAAAUUCGAAGAAAUUUACAACAUUUCAAGAAAAUUAACCCACAAAGAUUUCCAAGAAAUUUACAACAUUUCAAGAAACUGAAUGCAAAUUAACCCAAAAAGAUAAGAACCCACAAAAAAUUUCAAGAAACUGAAUGCAAAACAAGACCUAAAAUGACAAGAAAGCAAGAAUGUGGAUCAAGAUUUGUGGGAACA
rnacentral:lncRNA from 1 species